ACUCCUACGGGAGGCAGCAGUGGGGAAUAUUGGACAAUGGGCGAAAGCCUGAUCCAGCAAUGCCGCGUGAGUGAAGAAGGCCUUAGGGUUGUAAAGCUCUUUCACCGGGGAAGAUCAUGACGGUACCCGGAGAAGAAGCCCCGGCUAACUCCGUGCCAGCAGCCGCGGUAAU
rnacentral:rRNA from 1 species